AUGCUGCGGUGCUGCAGGAACCAAGCUAAGAUCCAGCAGAACCUCAUGUACCUCGCCGCCAUCGCAGCCAGCCAGCCGCCGCAGACAGCGUCGCUGUCUCAGUACCCGUCCAACCUGAUGAUGCAGUCCGAGCCGCGGUACAUGCCGCAGCAGUCGGCGCAGAUGAUGUCGCCGCAGUCGCUGAUGGCGGCGCGGUCGUCGAUGAUGUACGCGCAGCAGGUCAUGUCGCCCCUCCAGCAGCAGCAGCAGCACCAGGCGGCCGUGCACGGCCAGCUGGGGAUGUCCUCCGGCACGACCACCGGGUCACGGUGA
rnacentral:rRNA from 1 species